rnacentral:lncRNA from 1 species
UGGUAAGAUUUUUUAGAAAAAAAUUUUUAAAGAGAUCUUAGUGGAGGUCAUGAAGGCAUACAAGUGAUGGUGCAAUCAGUUCUUGCGAAGAACAAUCGGCAGUGCACCUGUGAAGAAGGCUGCAGUACCUUGACAAAUUGGGAAGGGCCCUGAUCAAUCCUGUGUAGAUCACCGUUGGAGGGUUUCUACUUUGGAGUCUCAUGGAGGUCUCAAAAUUACUAGUUCAUGGUCUUUAUGA